CGUCAAACAUACACAGCCAAGGGAUCCAAAAGGAGGGAGGUCAUGAUGGAUGCAGGUACUCAAGCAGCUGCCCAGAGCUGAAUCUCCACUGCCUCAGCCAAAGCCCCCAAAGUGGUUCUGACCUCUCCAGUUUAGCCUGCUGUAGAGCGGUUUCACUACGGAUGCCAGCCACCUGUCUGUUCUCCUGAGAGGCUAUGCCACUGACACCAGCCACCUGUUUGCCCUACUUCAAGCAGAUCCUGCCUUCACUUUUGGUUAGCCUAUUGGCCUCAGCUUCCUGCCUGGCUCUGUGGCCAUCCUCCUGAGCACCCUCUGUUUUCUGCCUGACUCCAUGAACAUCCUCUGUUCUUUGCCUGGUCCCCAGGUCAUCCUCCAGAGUUCCCUGCCUGGUCCUGAGUACCUCACCUAGAGUGGCUUCAACUCUCUGCCUGCUUCAGUGGGCAUUUCUUUGAACUGUGGACUUUUUUGACUAUCCUGGUUACCUAUAUUUCCAGAUCAUUGCAUUGUUCCCUGGCUGUGCUGUUUAGUUGUUAGUUUUCUUUAGAUGUCUUGUGUUACAGUUUGUCAAGUAGUGCUCUUCAGAUUCUUUUUGUUUCAUGUUACUUAUAUUAAACCUUACUAAUCAGA